ensembl:snRNA U6 U6 spliceosomal RNA
UGUUUUGGCAACACACACACAAUUAAAAUUGGAAUAACGCAGAGAAAAUUAGCAGGACCUCUGCCCAAGGAUGACACACACAGAGAAAAAUAAAUAAAUACAUAA